rnacentral:rRNA from 1 species
GCAACGCCGCGUGAGUGAUGAAGGUUUUCGGAUCGUAAAACUCUGUUGUUAGGGAAGAACAAGUACCGUUCGAAUAGGGCGGUACCUUGACGGUACCUAACCAGAAAGCCACGGCUAACUACGUGCCAGCAGCCGCGGUAAUACGUAGGUGGCAAGCGUUGUCCGGAAUUAUUGGGCGUAAAGCGCGCGCAGGCGGUCUUUUAAGUCUGAUGUGAAAGCCCCCGGCUCAACCGGGGAGGGUCAUUGGAAACUGGGAGACUUGAGUGCAGAAGAGGAGAGUGGAAUUCCACGUGUAGCGGUGAAAUGCGUAGAGAUGUGGAGGAACACCAGUGGCGAAGGCGACUCUCUGGUCUGUAACUGACGCUGAGGCGCGAAAGCGUGGGGAGCGAACAGGAUUAGAUACCCUGGUAGUCCACGCCGUAAACGAUGAGUGCUAAGUGUUAGAGGGUUUCCGCCCUUUAGUGCUGCAGCAAACGCAUUAAGCACUCCCCCUGGGGAGUACGGCCGCAAGGCUGAAACUCAAGGGAAUUGACGGGGGCCCCCCACAANCGGUGGAACCAUGUGGGUUUAA